rnacentral:pre_miRNA from 1 species
UUCGAUCGCCAGAUCCGGUGAGCUGGGCGGGGCUCGGGCCUCGCCCUGCCCAGCUCGCCGGAUCUGGUGAGGCCA